AUUUUUAGUUUCUGUUUUAUUUCCAAAUAAGGAAAAGG
rnacentral:antisense_RNA from 1 species